rnacentral:rRNA from 1 species
CUCUUCUUGGAAGAGUUGCGAACGGGUGAGUAACGCGUAGGUAACCUGCCUUGUAGCGGGGGAUAACUAUUGGAAACGAUAGCUAAUACCGCAUAACAAUGGGUGACCCAUGUCAUUCAUUUGAAAGGGGCAACUGCUCCACUACAAGAUGGACCUGCGUUGUAUUAGCUAGUAGGUGAGGUAACGGCUCACCUAGGCGACGAUACAUAGCCGACCUGAGAGGGUGAUCGGCCACACUGGGACUGAGACACGGCCCAGACUCCUACGGGAGGCAGCAGUAGGGAAUCUUCGGCAAUGGGGGCAACCCUGACCGAGCAACGCCGCGUGAGUGAAGAAGGUUUUCGGAUCGUAAAGCUCUGUUGUAAGUCAAGAACGAGUGUGAGAGUGGAAAGUUCACACUGUGACGGUAGCUUACCAGAAAGGGACGGCUAACUACGUGCCAGCAGCCGCGGUAAUACGUAGGUCCCGAGCGUUGUCCGGAUUUAUUGGGCGUAAAGCGAGCGCAGGCGGUUUGAUAAGUCUGAAGUUAAAGGCUGUGGCUCAACCAUAGUUCGCUUUGGAAACUGUCAAACUUGAGUGCAGAAGGGGAGAGUGGAAUUCCAUGUGUAGCGGUGAAAUGCGUAGAUAUAUGGAGGAACACCGGUGGCGAAAGCGGCUCUCUGGUCUGUAACUGACGCUGAGGCUCGAAAGCGUGGGGAGCGAACAGGAUUAGAUACCCUGGUAGUCCACGCCGUAAACGAUGAGUGCUAGGU